CCCAACUGGAAUUUUUCCUGAAAUAGAAAAAGACACAUGCAGGCAUACAUAUAUGUAAUUCAUCUGCAUAUACAUUCAUAUCAGGUCCAAUUGGCAAAGGUGAAGUGUGGUGACAAGGGGCGUCGUUCUCUUUUCUCAGGAUAGUGAGUGGAACUGGGGGGCUGACCUGGCACAGCGUGACAAUAAUACCAGGAUAGUCCAUGACAAUGAAUAAGUCCAUAAUAAAAGCAAUAUCUCAGAGGCUCGCACAUAGGAAGUCCAUCUCUGGGCACAUAGACUUGAAUAACACCUGUUAAUAAAUACGGUCAGCAGCACACAUAUAAAAUGACAAUACAGGACUCUGACAAUACCAGGGCCAUGUUAUCCUGGCAAGUCCUGCUUACCCUUUAAAACGGUGCUGACAUAAAAGAGCCCUUUCAACCUGUAAUGGGGGUUAAAAGGGGAAAAGUAUGUGCAAUAACUUCAA